UGGGGAAUAUUGGACAAUGGGCGCAAGCCUGAUCCAGCCAUGCCGCGUGAAUGAUGAAGGCCUUAGGGUUGUAAAGUUCUUUUGUCAGGGAAGAUAAUGACGGUACCUGAAGAAUAAGCACCGGCUAACUUCGUGCCAGCAGCCGCGGUAAUACGAAGGGUGCUAGCGUUGUUCGGAAUUACUGGGCGUAAAGCGCGCGUAGGCGGCUUUACAAGUCAGGGGUGAAAUCCCACGGCUCAACCGUGGAAUUGCCUUUGAAACUGUAAAGCUAGAGUGUCGGAGGGGAUAGCGGAAUUGCUAAUGUAGAGGUGAAAUUCGUAGAUAUUAGCAGGAACACCGGUGGCGAAGGCGGCUAUCUGGACGACAACUGACGCUGAGGCGCGAAAGCAUGGGGAUCAAACAGGAUUAGAUACCCCCGUAGUCC
rnacentral:rRNA from 1 species